AAGGUUUGGCAGCCCGGAGAUUUUUUUGGAGGUACCUACCACUCCUGAUUCCCUGGACUUAUCCAUCAUGAACCAGCUUCACUCUGAAAGGUUCCUGUUCCCUUCCAAUCCAUUUCUCCCAUAGG
rnacentral:lncRNA from 1 species